rnacentral:rRNA from 1 species
GUGCCAGCAGCCGCGGUAAUACGUAGGGGGCUAGCGUUAUCCGGAAUUACUGGGCGUAAAGGGUGCGUAGGUGGUUUCUUAAGUCAGAGGUGAAAGGCUACGGCUCAACCGUAGUAAGCCUUUGAAACUGAGAAACUUGAGUGCAGGAGAGGAGAGUAGAAUUCCUAGUGUAGCGGUGAAAUGCGUAGAUAUUAGGAGGAAUACCAGUUGCGAAGGCGGCUCUCUGGACUGUAACUGACACUGAGGCACGAAAGCGUGGGGAGCAAACAGGAUUAGAAACCCGGGUAGUCC